rnacentral:sRNA from 1 species
ACAAAAACCUGUUUUUUGAUCUGUAAUGUUACGUCAUAUUCUGUAGACAAAAUCAGAAUUGUUAAACAAAUGAGUUUAACCAUAAUUCUCUUAUUUCAACAGACUGAAACUGUUGAGGAGCCCAUGGAGGAAGAAGAAGCAGCCAAAGAAGAGAAAGAAGAAUCUGAUGAUGAAGCUGCAGUAGAGGAAGAAGAAGAAGAAAAGAAACCAAAGACUAAAAAAGUUGAAAAAACUGUCUGGGACUGGGAACUUAUGAAUGAUAUCAAACCAAUAUGGCAGAGACCAUCAAAAGAAGUAGAAGAAGAUGAAUACAAAGCUUUCUACAAAUCAUUUUCAAAGGAAAGUGAUGACCCCAUGGCUUAUAUUCACUUUACUGCUGAAGGGGAAGUUACCUUCAAAUCAAUUUUAUUUGUACCCACAUCUGCUCCACGUGGUCUAUUUGACGAAUAUGGAUCUAAAAAGAGCGAUUACAUUAAGGUGAGUUUUUAAGUAGUACAUACUGCGUUUAAAAUUUGCAAGUUUAAUUUCCAGAAAGUGACUUUUUUUUUGGUCUCUUUAGCUCUAUGUGCGCCGUGUAUUCAUCACAGACGACUUCCAUGAUAUGAUGCCUAAAUACCUUAAUUUUGUCAAGGGUGUGGUAAGUAUCUGAAGUUUGGGAGAAGGGGUGAUUGUUGUGGGGGUCUGGCAGUGUAGAGUG